rnacentral:misc_RNA from 1 species
GCUUAAGCUACGCAUCAACAGGUAUAGGCCUUUGUGGGAACGAUAUGUAAAUCAGACGCACCCACACCUUCAGGAUUGUGCUACACAUUGAAAUGACUAUACUUUUUCACAUACUCGAGAAGAUCCCAUCAUUGUAGAGUUAGAAAUAGACAAUUUUGCCCUAUUAAGGAUUCUUCCCUAGUCUUGUUAUCAGUUUAGUAGUGUGAAAAAAGGAAAACUGAUAUUAUACAACAAAGGGUUUAGGGGAAUCACUUAUGGUUGAGAGGUUUUCUCUGUCUCUACAAAUGAUAGAACAAAUUUUCCUAGCAUUUUUUGUAAUAAUCUUGUUCCUUUUGAUCACAUCUAGGUUAGACAUUUUGUCUUUGCUUCUUUGUUGUUCUGUACGCGGAUCCAAUUAUUUUUAGUUGCUGUAACAUAUAACUACUGCAACCUAUGUAAGUGAUUUAUACUGAUGAUAUGAUGCAUCAGAGCGACUAUUAUGGUUUUUUGGCCUUUGGUACAAGAUAGA